GAAAAGCAAAAUCCAGCCCUUACUGUCAAGAGCCAUGGAGAGAGAGGAAUGGAAUGUCAAUCACCUCAUGGAGGGGCCCUUUGUCAUCCUUUCAGCACAGGACAGGAUGGUUCAAUGAGGCAGUGAACAAAUGUAUGGUAGGGAACAUGUUACUGUUGCUCCAAAAAAGAGCUGUGUAUAUUCCGGUCAGCUGCUGAAUACAGCUUAUGUGCAGGGGACAGGGGGCUUGCUGCAGCAUCAAAACAGCAGGCCACACCCUCUUGGUCUGUGUAGUUUUGGCAUGAACAUUAGCCACACCUUUCUCCUUGGAUUCAACAAAGUAUUGGGCCUGCAGGGCAUAGGGGGCGAGUUUACAACCAUUCUGAGCCUGAAUUGAUCCGAACUGGGCUAGACAAAACAGUGGAGACUUCAUUGCAGUUGUCCAGACACCUAAGGUGACAACUGAAAGUCAAAGAUGCUUUUGUGUCAGUUUAUUGAGGCAGCUUGUGAAAAGACUUCUAUCUUUUCAAACUUUUGAGAGAAAAUAUUAUUUGGAGACUCUUGGGCAAAAUUGUUAGUGUCUUUAGAAAGAAAGGAGAAUACUGGUCCUAAAUGUUUCAGUAGUUGAAAAUGUUGAGUCUUAUGUUCCUAGUUUUCUUAGGUAUUGGUCUGUAGCUUAAUAAACAUUAUCUGAUAAGGAA